UGAAUCAAAACUUUCAACAACGGAUCUCUUGGUUCUGGCAUCGAUGAAGAACGCAGCGAAAUGCGAUAAGUAAUGUGAAUUGCAGAAUUCAGUGAAUCAUCGAAUCUUUGAACGCACAUUGCGCCCGCCAGUAUUCUGGCGGGCAUGCCUGUCCGAGCG
rnacentral:rRNA from 1 species